GAUGAAGAACGCAGCGAAAUGCGAUAAGUAAUGCGAAUUGCAGAAUCCGUGAGUCAUCGAAUCUUUGAACGCACAUUGCGCCCUUUGGUAUUCCGAAGGGCAUGCCUGUUCGAGCGUCAUUAUCACCACUCGAGCCCGGCUUGCUGUUGGUGGCAGCGCAGCCGGUCAACCGGCUACGCUCCACCCAAAGAUAAUGACGGCGUCUGCGAGGACUCCUGUACAUUGAGCUUUCGGGCACGUACAUGGCUAGAAGUCCAGGCGCCGGUCGACGUCCUCCGGGACACUUUUUACCAAGGUUGACCUCGGAUCAGGUAGGGAUACCCGCUGAACUUAAGCAUAUCAAUAAGCGGAGGA
rnacentral:misc_RNA from 1 species